AAUGAACGCUGGCGGCAGGCCUAAACAUGCAAGUCGAGCGCCCUAGCAAUAGGGAGCGGCGCACGGGUGAGUAACACGUGGGAAUAUGCCUUUUGGUACGGAACAACCUCGGGAAACUGAGGCUAAUACCGUAUGGUCCCUUCGGGGUAAAGAUUUAUCGCCAAAAGAGUAGCCCGCGUUGGAUUAGCUAGUUGGUAAGGUAACGGCUUACCAAGGCGACGAUCCAUAGCUGGUCUGAGAGGACGAUCAGCCACACUGGGACUGAGACACGGCCCAGACUCCUACGGGAGGCAGCAGUUAGGAAUAUUGGACAAUGGGCGCAAGCCUGAUCCAGCCAUGCCGCGUGAGUGAUGAAGGCC
rnacentral:rRNA from 1 species